UCCGCAGCCAAACCCAGAGGUCGCACCCUGCCGGUGGUGCGACUCAGUCCGGCGUGCGCACAGCAAGCGUCGUCCUCGUCGCCUUCCGCCGCCGCUCCCGUGCGGCUGGAAGUGAAUCUGAGGCCGCACACGG